rnacentral:rRNA from 1 species
UACGUAGGGUGCAAGCGUUAAUCGGAAUUACUGGGCGUAAAGCGUGCGCAGGCGGUUAUGUAAGACAGAUGUGAAAUGCCCGGGCUUAACCUGGGAACUGCAUUUGUGACUGCAUGGCUAGAGUUUGGCAGAGGGGGGUAGAAUUCCACGUGUAGCAGUGAAAUGCGUAGAUAUGUGGAGGAACACCGAUGGCGAAGGCAGCCCCCUGGGUCAAGACUGACGCUCAUGCACGAAAGCAUGGGGAGCGAACGGG